CUAAAGUCUCCAAAAUUCACAAUCCAUUAGCUCA
rnacentral:sRNA from 1 species